GGGAGGUGGGAGGACAAAUGAAGACAACAUUGGGAGAAUGAGGAAAAAGGCUUUACUGGGAGGUGGCUUUUGAGAUACCCUUUGAAAAUAAGGAGGAUUCUGGCAGAAAUGGAGAAAGGAAGAGCUCAGGUCUGAACUCAAGUCA